rnacentral:rRNA from 1 species
UACGAGGGGGGCAAGCGUUGUUCGGAAUUAUUGGGCGUAAAGGGUGCGUAGGCGGUUUUGUAAGUCAGUGGUGAAAUACUCUAGCUUAACUAGAGGGGUGCCAAUGAUACUGCGGAACUUGAGUACAGAUGAGGUAGGCGGAAUUGACGGUGUAGCGGUGAAAUGCAUAGAUAUCGUCAAGAACACCGAUAGCGAAGGCAGCUUACUGGGCUGUAACUGACGCUGAUGCACGAAAGUGUGGGGGAUCAAACAGGA